GCCGAAGUGGCGGAACGGCAGACGCGCUACGUUCAGGGCGUAGUGAGGUUUAUCCUCGUGAGAGUUCGAAUCUCUCCUUCGGCACCA
rnacentral:tRNA from 1 species